rnacentral:lncRNA from 1 species
UGAAGAUUGCAAGCUUGGCAAGAUCACUAGGUAUCAGCUACUUCAAGAGACUACUCGAGAAAUCCGGCAUCCGAGGCGACGAGGUUAAACCCACCUUCCCGGGAUUAAGUCGACGGUUGAGAACGAUACUUGGUAGUCUAGGACAUUUUGAGCAAGCUAGCGGAACGCGCCGGACGGGUGGUUGAUGCGAAGCUAGCUUGUAAACAUGUUUUUCUAGACCAUUUUGGUUGAGUCAAGUUUGUAUAUUGACAUUGGA